UUUGUGUAUAUUUUCUUCCACAUUCUCCCCCUUUUUGAUGAUGAUAAUUUACUGUAAAGGGAAGAAAAAUAAAACAGUAUAUUUUGAUCACAGCCCCUUAAACUCUCCCUUAGUAAAACAUUGAUUGAUGUUAUUUUUAUUUUUAUAAAAGGAGUUGUACUUAUAUUUUGAAAAAUAUUGUAGAGAUCAAUGUUUAUAUUAUAAAACAUAAGUGUGAAGUUGAGCAUCAAAAAUAUUUGUCAAAAUAAUGUUAGACAAAAAUAAACAUUUUCUUUUCCUUUGCGAUCUUAUCUAUCUAAUAUAAACCUAUAUAAAAUAAGUUAGGUGAAGGGUUCCUAAAAUAUCUGAGCAUGAAAAAAAAUGAAGCUUGUAAUAAAACUUCUAUUAUUGAACAGUAUAAUAUCAUUUUAUGGUUAGAUUUUAAUUUUAAACUAUUAUGGUCCUCAUCAUGAUCAUAUCAUGAUAUACUUAUUAUGUCUUUAAAAUUUGUUUUCAAUUUAAAUGCUUUAACAUAGCUAUGAUUAAAUUGAAAAAACUGAAUAUAAUCAUACAUUGUCAUAUAUAUUAAGAUUCACAAAAAGUUUGCUAGGGUUCAUACUCCUUUCCGCAUACAAUAUUUUACUGGUGCAUCACCUAAAUGCAUUGUAGUUCAGAUUCAGAAUUCAGAUUAAUAAAUUUUAACUUCGUUUGUUAGCACCUAUAUGGAAGUUUGGCACAAAACUACUGAUGGGCCAUACAAUGGUGCCUAAAUAACAUGUCAACCCUUAAGGUUACUAGUUACUACAUAUCUUCAUGGUCCCAUUCUUCAUCAUCAUAAACUUUAGGCCCCCAAAUCUCGUAGCCGUUAUCAUAAACUUCAACCAUCUCUCAGCUCAUGACAGCAUGCAAAAUUAGAUCCAGUUCAGGGUAACGACCCAUGCAUAAUGCACAUCAAGCAUGAAGUUGAGGCAAGGCAUCUGAAAAAUUACAUAUUUAGAGUGAGACAAAAGCUCAGAAGGGAAGCAUGGAAAAUACUCAUUCUUUCGCAAAAUUCUAGCCAAAGGUUUUUAGAGAAUUAAUUUUAAGCAAUAUGUGAUUUUGAAUAAUAACUUAUUCUGAAACUGCUGGAGGUAAUUCUUAUCCCUUUUCUUGAUAUUUGCACUGUUUCAAAUUCUCUUAUGGUCAAUUAUGCAUGUAAUAAUUAUCUUAAAAACAAAACCUGUAAACAUGGCAUGACUAUGGAGUCAUUGGCUGCACACUGGUGUGACAGAAGGCGUGCUACCAAGUAACAAAUGCAUGAGCCGAGGAGGCAUUAAAAAUGUUGCCUUCUGUUGCAAUUUCAAUUUAGCAUUUGGGCAGAGUCCAAUUUCAUAUUCAUAUUCAAGGUGGAUACUCCAGAGUUAAGGUAGUUGCUUGGGAAUUGGGGCAUUCACUUCUUUGAUGCAUUUGUAUAAAUUUUCAAGCUCUAUCAAUUCCUCCUCUUGUCCCUGCGUUGCCAGGAUAUAUGUGCUGAUGUUGUGUACAGCAAUCUGUACAGUCGGCUGAUUUUGCUUCAGAGAAUUUACUGUGUAUGCAAAACUCGUACAAAUAAAACUUGAACUGGUAUUGCUGAGGAUGCUGUAUAUGGUCAUAUUCAAUUACUUAUUCCUGGUGAAACAGCCUGUUUUGCA